CUUGUUAUCACCUUCCCACUCCCAUCAGACGCACCACGGGUCUCAUAUGAAGAUAGCGUAUCAUUCUUGAAAAUCACUAUUGAAAAUUAAAAGUGCCUCGUUGUUUUGGAACAGGAUUGUUAAGUGGAUGCACUAAAGAGGCCGCCUGAAUUAGUUGGUGCAAUCAAAACAACAAGUACAAUCUAAACAACAGAAUGAAAUAGAGCUGCGUUGAAAUUAUAUAGCCUACUUUUCAAAUGUAGAACUUGAACCUUGUAUAAUACACUUUGGUGAUUAGGAAUUGAAGCUUUUGAUUUAUCGUAGAUAAUCUAUAGCAUUCAUAGCAU